UUCCAAAGACACAGUCAGUCAGUCAGUCAGACACAGUUGCAGUUGAAUAGGACAUACAAACACAACAUACUUCUUAUUUGAUCCUCCCUACUAUUCUAUCUGUUGGAAAAAAAGAGACAUGGCUGGCGCUUUAAGAUUCCUCCUCAGUGGCUGUCUGCUGCAAGGUGUUCUCUGUGCAGAUUGGACAGCCUUGAUGCCUCAGAGUAUAGAGGCUCUGAAGGGAUCAUGUGUGCGCAUUCCCUGCUCAUUUACACUUGGUUCCAUAAAGGCAGUGGACUAUAAUCCCUGCCUAAAAACUCACUCAUGUAAUGCCAUUUGGAUGAGAGGGGGAAUAGAUAAGACAAACACAGUAGGCUCCAGUCCAUCUGGGAACUUGAACCAGAAAGACUGUACUACAAUCCUGGACAACAUGCCUACUGGUGACGAGCUUUACUUCAGAAUAGAAUGUGGCAACUGUGUCAAGUUUAAUUUUGGCACACCUGUUCAAAUCAAUAUGGCAGACACUCCCCCCACACCCACUCUCACCCCAGCUACAGUGGAAGUGAGGGAGGGGACCUCAGUGAGUUUGAUUUGCUCUGCAGCAGCCCCAUGUCCCUCUCUCCACCCAACUCUGACAUGGACCCCCAGUCUGGGUCAAAGUGAGGAGGGACUACAGGAGAAUCAGGAUAAAACUCAAGUCAAGACCUCUUCUCUGACCUUCACUGCUUCAUACCUCCAUCAUGAACAGAAUAUCUCCUGCACUGCUCUCUACAAACAACAAGAUGGCAAGAACGUCAAAUCACCUGAAACUAGUCUGACCGUCACGGUUCUAUUUUCUCCCAAGAACACCUCAGUGUCCGUCAGUCCCUCUGGUUCGGUGUUAGAGGGCAGCUCCAUGACUCUGACCUGCAGCAGCAAUGCCAACCCAGCAGUGAGCUACACCUGGUACAGAGUCAAUGGAGUUCAGGUGACAACAGUGGGGUCUAGCAGAAUGCUAACUAUCCAGGUGUCUGCAAACAACAGUCAGUUCUACUGUGAAGCCAGAAAUGACCAUGGAACCGAGAACUCCUCUGUCAUUCAACUAGAUUUGCCAUAUCCUCCCAUGUAUACCUCAGUGUUAGUCAGUCCCUCUGGUCCAGUGGUAGAGGGCAGCUCUGUGACUCUGACCUGCAGCAGCAUUGCCAACCCUGCAGUGAAGACCUACACUUGGUAUAGAGUCAAUGGAGUUCAGGUGACAUCAAUAGGACACGGAGAGAAACAUCAGACUCAGGUGUACACAGAUCAAAGAAAGUUCUACUGUGAGGCUAAAAAUGUCCAUGGAACACAGAACGCAUCAGUCUUUGAACUGGAUGUUAUGUACUCCCCAAAGAACACCUCAGUGUCAGUCAGUCCCUCUGGUUCAAUGAUAGAGGGCAGCUUUGUGACUCUGACCUGCAACAGCAAUGCCAACCCAGCAGUGAAGACCUACACCUGGUACACAAUCAGGGGAGGUCGGGAGACACCAGUGAAGAAUAUGCCAGAGCUAACUGUCCAGGUGUUGACAGAUAACAGCAUGUUCUACUGUGAGGCCAAAAAUGACCAUGGAAUCCAGAAAUCAUCUGCCUUUCAACUAGAUAUGAUGUACCCUCCCAAGAACACCUCAGUGUCUGUCAGUCCCUCUGAUUCAGUGUUAGAGGGCAGCUCUGUGACUCUGACCUGCAGGAGCAAUGCCAACCCAGCGGGGACCUACGCCUGGUACAGAGUCAAUGGAGAUCAGGUGACAUCAAUAGGACAUGGAAACAAACAUCAGACCCAGGUGUACACAGAUCACAGACAGUUUUACUGUGGUGCCACAAAUGACCAUGGCACUAAGAACUCAUCAGUCAUUGAACUGGAUGUAUUGUAUCCUCCCAAGAACACCUCAGUGUCAGUCAGUCCCUCUGGUUCAGUGUUAGAGGGUAGCUCUGUGACUCUGACCUGCAGCAGCAAUGCCAACCCAGCAGUGAAAAACUACACCUGGUACAGAGUCAAUGGAGACCAUGUGACACAAAUUGCUAAUGAAAGAGAGUUAAAAACGGAAGCAUCUAUAGACAACCACCAGUUUUACUGUGAGGCCAGAAAUGACCAUGGUACAAAGAACUCAUCAAUCAUUCUACUGAAUGUGCUAUACCCACCAAAGAACACCUCAGUAUCAGUCAGUCCCUCUAGUUCAGCAAUAGAGGGCAGCUCUGUGACUCUGACCUGCAGCAGCAAUGCCAACCCACCAGUGGGGAGCUACACCUGGUACAGAGUCAAUCAAGAACAGGUCACAGAAGUGGGAUCUAGCAGAAUGCUAACUAUCAAGGUACCCGCAGACAACAGCCAGUUUUAUUGUGAGACCAGAAAUCGUCUUGGAUCCCAGAACUCAUCUGUCACUCAACUAGAUGGGAUGUAUCCUGCCAAGAACACCUCAUUGUCGGUCAGUCCCUCUGGUUCAGUGGUAGAGGGCAGCUCUGUGACUCUGACCUGCAGCAGCAAUGCCAACCCAGCAGUGAAGACCUACACCUGGUACAGAGUCAAUGGGAGGGAGGGAGUCAUUGUAGGAUCUGGACAGAGCUUCACCUUCAAUAAGAUUGCUAUCAGUGAUAGUGGGCGGUACUAUUGCGAAGCAGAGAACAAGCAUGGGGUGGACAACUCAACAACUACUAACAUAGAUGUGACAUACCCACCAAAGAACACCUCAGUAUCAGUCAGUCCCUCUAGUUCAGCAAUAGAGGGCAGCUCUGUGACUCUGACCUGCAGCAGCAAUGCCAACCCACCAGUGGGGAGCUACACCUGGCACAGAGUCAAUCGCGUCUCUGGCAACCGAACCGAUAGAACGAACGACCAACCGGUUUGGAUAGCAACCCUAGAUUUGUGUCGGGACUAUGUCUUGCGGAAGGAUGAAAGAACCCACCAAAGAACACCUCAGUAUCAGUCAGUCCCUCUAGUUCAGCAAUAGAGGGCAGCUCUGUGACUCUGACCUGCAGCAGCAAUGCCAACCCACCAGUGGGGAGCUACACCUGGCACAGAGUCAAUCAAGAACAGGUCACAGAAGUGGGAUCUAGCAGAAUGCUAACUAUCAAGGUACCCGCAGACAACAGCCAGUUCUAUUGUGAGACCAGAAAUCGUCUUGGAUCCCAGAACUCAUCUGUCACUCAACUAGAUGGGAUGUAUCCUGCCAAGAACACCUCAUUGUCGGUCAGUCCCUCUGGUUCAGUGGUAGAGGGCAGCUCUGUGACUCUGACCUGCAGCAGCAAUGCCAACCCAGCAGUGAAGACCUACACCUGGUACAGAGUCAAUGGGAGGGAGGGAGUCAUUGUAGGAUCUGGACAGAGCUUCACCUUCAAUAAGAUUGCUAUCAAUGAUAGUGGGCGGUACUAUUGCGAAGCAGAGAACAAGCAUGGGGUGGACAACUCAACAACUACUAACAUAGAUGUGACAUUUGCUCCAAAGAUUCUGCCCUCCUCUCGCUGCAUCAGAACUGCUGAUCAGAUCAACUGUACCUGUGAGAGUCAUGGGAACCCCUCUCCCAAAGUGGAGUGGCGAUUGGCUGGACAGCCUGUCAAUCACUUUACUAACACUGUCGUCAGAGAGUCAAUGGGCAGCACAGGCCUGAGAAGCUCCCUCACCACCCACCAAUCACAGGAGGAGGACACGCCCCCUCUGGUCUGCCUCAGCACCAACUCUGUAGGAUCUUCCAGCCUCCAGUUCUGUAUUCAAUGCCUGGGGAGUCACCAGGGGCUGGGCAAAAGCGUUGAAGUUCUUGAGGGUCAAGUUUCCUUGCCAAUCUUCAUCACUGCAAUAUUUGUUUCGGCAUUAAUGACAGCACUGAUAUGUGCUUUACUGUAUCUCCGAAGGGUUUGGUAUCCUUGUUUUACGGUACUCAGAGGUCAUUACAAAUAUUACGACAGUGAUGUGGGGAUGAACCUAGUUCCGACCAGUGGUGAGAGGACACAGGAUCCUCCUGCGCCAGAAGAAGACAUAUACGCCAACAGCAUGAUACCGAGUCAGGCCAGGAGACAGAGAUGCAAACAAGACCUAGAGGCCCCGAAUCUGGGUCCCAAACCCCUGCCUUCCUCCAAAGCCAUCUCUGAGACCGACCGAACCAGCCUGCCCAAUCUUAUCGCUGACACUGCUACAAAUCCAGGAGAAGGCACUGCAAAGAAGGAGGGGGAGGAUGUGUUUUAUUCCAGUGUGAUUUGGAAGAAGAAGAAGUGGAUGAAGAAGAAGAAUGAGGGGUCCCUUGACGGGGGAAGGGAGGCGUCUAGCGGUUCCUACCUGGAGGAGGAAAGGUGUGUGCUGGGAAAUGUAGGCAGACACAGAAUAAGUAAGGUACUGGAGAUGGAUCACCUGCAGUUUCUCUAGUUUUUCAUGAAUAUAAUGUAGGUCUAUUGUACUUUCACAGAGAUAUAUUGCUCUUACUGAAAGUAUAACGCUGUCUUUUUCACCACAAAACAAAUAAAAACAUGAAAUGUCCA